rnacentral:pre_miRNA from 12 species
AAUAUCUGUUCAUGUGACCCGUGGACUUCCCUUUGUCAUCCUAUGCCUGAGAAUAUAUGAAGGGGGCUGGGACGGCAAAGGGACGUUCAACUGUCAUCACUGGC